rnacentral:rRNA from 1 species
CCUACGGGUGGCAGCAGUGGGGAAUAUUGGACAAUGGGGGGAACCCUGAUCCAGCCAUGCCGCGUGUGUGAAGAAGGCCCUCGGGUUGUAAAGCACUUUCAGUGAGGAAGAACGCCUGGUGGUUAAGACCCAUCAGGAAAGACAUCACUCACAGAAGAAGCACCGGCUAACUCCGUGCCAGCAGCCGCGGUAAUACGGAGGGUGCGAGCGUUAAUCGGAAUUACUGGGCGUAAAGCGCGCGUAGGUGGCUUGAUAAGCCGGUUGUGAAAGCCCCGGGCUCAACCUGGGAACGGCAUCCGGAACUGUCAAGCUAGAGUGCAGGAGAGGAAGGUAGAAUUCCCGGUGUAGCGGUGAAAUGCGUAGAGAUCGGGAGGAAUACCAGUGGCGAAGGCGGCCUUCUGGACUGACACUGGCACUGAGGUGCGAAAGCGUGGGUAGCAAACAGGAUUAGAUACCCCAGUAGUC